GAGUAGGAAUGAUCGACUAAGUACGUCACUUCCUGUGACAACGUCGAUCUGACCCACGUCGUGUGGG
rnacentral:sRNA from 1 species